rnacentral:rRNA from 1 species
UACGUAGGGCGCAAGCGUGUCCGGAAUUAUUGGGCGUAAAGAGCUCGUAGGCGGUUUGUCGCGUCUGCUGUGAAAACCUAAGGCUCAACCUUGGGCUUGCAGUGGGUACGGGCAGACUAGAGUGCGGUAGGGGUGACUGGAAUUCCUGGUGUAGCGGUGGAAUGCGCAGAUAUCAGGAGGAACACCGAUGGCGAAGGCAGGUCACUGGGCCGCAACUGGACG